UGGGGAAUUUUGGACAAUGGGCGAAAGCCUGAUCCAGCAAUGCCGCGUGUGUGAAGAAGGCCUUCGGGUUGUAAAGCACUUUUGUCCGGAAAGAAAUCCUUGGCUCUAAUACAGUCGGGGGAUGACGGUACCGGAAGAAUAAGCACCGGCUAACUACGUGCCAGCAGCCGCGGUAAUACGUAGGGUGCAAGCGUUAAUCGGAAUUACUGGGCGUAAAGCGUGCGCAGGCGGUUUGCUAAGACCGAUGUGAAAUCCCCGGGCUCAACCUGGGAACUGCAUUGGUGACUGGCAGGCUAGAGUAUGGCAGAGGGGGGUAGAAUUCCACGUGUAGCAGUGAAAUGCGUAGAGAUGUGGAGGAAUACCGAUGGCGAAGGCAGCCCCCUGGGCCAAUACUGACGCUCAUGCACGAAAGCGUGGGGAGCAAAACAGGAUUAGAUACCCUGGUAGUCCACGCCCUAAACGAUGUCAACUAGUUGUUGGGGAUUCAUUUCCUUAGUAACGUAGCUAACGCGUGAAGUUGACCGCCUGGGGAGUACGGUCGCAAGAUUAAAACUCAAAGAAUUGACGGGGUCAUAGCUGUUUCCU
rnacentral:rRNA from 1 species